rnacentral:rRNA from 1 species
AUUGAACGCUGGCGGCAGGCCUAACACAUGCAAGUCGAGCGGUAGCACAGGAGAGCUUGCUCUCCGGGUGACGAGCGGCGGACGGGUGAGUAAUGUCUGGGAAACUGCCUGAUGGAGGGGGAUAACUACUGGAAACGGUAGCUAAUACCGCAUAACGUCUUCGGACCAAAGUGGGGGACCUUCGGGCCUCACGCCAUCAGAUGUGCCCAGAUGGGAUUAGCUAGUAGGUGGGGUAAUGGCUCACCUAGGCGACGAUCCCUAGCUGGUCUGAGAGGAUGACCAGCCACACUGGAACUGAGACACGGUCCAGACUCCUACGGGAGGCAGCAGUGGGGAAUAUUGCACAAUGGGCGCAAGCCUGAUGCAGCCAUGCCGCGUGUGUGAAGAAGGCCUUCGGGUUGUAAAGCACUUUCAGCGAGGAGGAAGGGUUCAGUGUUAAUAGCACUGUUCAUUGACGUUACUCGCAGAAGAAGCACCGGCUAACUCCG